UACGGAAGGUCCGAGCGUUGUCCGGAAUCAUUGGGCGUAAAGGGUACGUAGGCGGAUAAGCAAGUUAGAAGUGAAAUCCUAUAGCUCAACUAUAGUAAGCGUUUAAAACUGCUCAUCUUGAGUUAUGAAAGGGAAAGUGGAAUUCCUAGUGUAGCGGUGAAGUGCUCAGAUAUUACGAGGAAUACCGAUUGCGAAGGCAGCUUACUGGCCAUAAACUGACGCUGAGGGACGAAAGCGUGGGUAGCAAACAGG
rnacentral:rRNA from 1 species